rnacentral:rRNA from 1 species
UACGUAGGUGACAAGCGUUGUCCGGAUUUACUGGGCGUAAAGGGCGCGUAGGCGGUCGUGACAAGUCACUUGUGAAAUCUCCGGGCUUAACUCGGAACGGUCAAGUGAUACUGUCGGACUAGAGUACAGAAGGGGCAACUGGAAUUCUCGGUGUAGCGGUGAAAUGCGUAGAUAUCGAGAGGAACACCUGCGGCGAAGGCGGGUUGCUGGGCUGAUAACUGACGCUGAGGCGCGAAAGCCAGGGGAGCGAACGGG